GACGAACGCUGGCGGCGUGCUUAACACAUGCAAGUCGAACGGAAAGGCCCUGCUUUUGUGGGGUGCUCGAGUGGCGAACGGGUGAGUAACACGUGAGUAACCUGCCCUUGACUUUGGGAUAACUUCAGGAAACUGGGGCUAAUACCGGAUAGGAGCUCCUGCUGCAUGGUGGGGGUUGGAAAGUUUCGGCGGUUGGGGAUGGACUCGCGGCUUAUCAGCUUGUUGGUGGGGUAGUGGCUUACCAAGGCUUUGACGGGUAGCCGGCCUGAGAGGGUGACCGGCCACAUUGGGACUGAGAUACGGCCCAGACUCCUACGGGAGGCAACAGUGGGGAAUAUUGCACAAUGGGCGGAAGCCUGAUGCGACAACGCCGCGUGCGGGAUGACGGCCUUCGGGUUGUAAACCGCUGUCGCCUGUGACGAAGCGUGAGUGACGGUAAUGGGUAAAGAAGCACCGGCUAACUACGUG
rnacentral:rRNA from 1 species